AGAUUGAACGCUGGCGGCAUGCUUUACACAUGCAAGUCGAACGGGGUGGUGGGGCAACCCGCCAUUCAGUGGCGAACGGGUGAGUAAUACAUCGGAACGUGUCCCGUAGUGGGGGAUAACCCGGCGAAAGCCGGACUAAUACCGCAUAUGCUCUACGGAGGAAAGCGGGGGACCUGAAAGGGCCUCGCGCUAUGGGAGCGGCCGAUGUCCGAUUAGCUUGUUGGUGAGGUAAUGGCUCACCAAGGCGACGAUCGGUAGCUGGUCUGAGAGGAUGAUCAGCCACACUGGGACUGAGACACGGCCCAGACUCCUACGGGAGGCAGCGAGUGGGGAAUUUGGACAAGUGGGGCAACCUGAUCCAGCCAUGCCGCGUGCGGAAGAAGGCCGUUGGUUGUAACCGUCGUUUUAAGUCGGUAAAGAAAGGCGACGGUAGAACGUACCCGUGUUC
rnacentral:rRNA from 1 species